rnacentral:misc_RNA from 1 species
UUUCCGUAGGUGAACCUGCGGAAGGAUCAUUACAAAGAAGUUCUCGGGUGCUUUAUGCCCCGAAACCUCCACCCUAUGUGUAUCGACCGCCUUGUAUGUUGCCUCGGCGGGUUGUUGGUUUUCCCCCAACUUUGGGGGGUGGCUACACCCGCCGGCAGACAGCUUAUAAAACCUUGAUAUAAACCUUAUAGUCAGAGCUUUAUUAGCAAAAUUAAUAAAUCAAAACUUUCAACAACGGAUCUCUUGGUUCUGGCAUCGAUGAAGAACGCAGC